UACGUAGGGGGCAAGCGUUGUCCGGAUUUAUUGGGCGUAAAGCGCGUGUAGGCGGCCAUACAGGUCCGUUGUGAAAACUCGAGGCUUAACCUCGAGACGUCGAUGGAAACCGUAUGGCUAGAGUCCGGAAGAGGAGAGUGGAAUUCCUGGUGUAGCGGUGAAAUGCGCAGAUAUCAGGAAGAACACCAAUGGCGAAGGCAGCUCUCUGGGACGGUACUGACACUGAGACGCGAAAGCGUGGGGAGCGAACAGG
rnacentral:rRNA from 1 species